rfam:Ictidomys tridecemlineatus contig002342, whole genome shotgun sequence.
GGGGAUAUGGCUCAGUGGUAGAGCACUUGCCUCACAUGUGUGAGGCACUGAGUUCAAUUCUCAGAGUCACAU